UUGUCAGUGACACACACCAGGGCAGGACCCUCCACAGUGUCUGAUACUCCCCCCAUUCCUUGUAGCUGCUCUCCAAUGUCACUCAAACAAACUCGGCUGAUACCGCUAGUUGGCAGAUGAUUUUCUACCCACUUGAAAUGUUUUAUCACCCGCUUGGAGCAGCAACUCCCACGCCGGAAUAUCACAUGCAAAGGUAUUGGUGAGUGUGGUUUCCUGGCAUUGAAAGGCGAAUAUUACAACCCACGGAAAUUUCUUCUGAGGCUUUCGAGCCAAAGAAUGAAAUUGUCCUGCUACAUUGACUAU